AUCCAACUGACGAGUCCCAUAUAGAACGAAACGCAUGUGUUUGGAC
rnacentral:hammerhead_ribozyme from 1 species